rnacentral:snRNA from 1 species
CUGUACAGAUAUAAAUCACU